UGCACUUGGCGAAGUUGCCUG
rnacentral:miRNA from 1 species